rnacentral:rRNA from 1 species
CCUACGGGUGGCUGCAGUGAGGAAUAUUGGUCAAUGGGCGUAAGCCUGAACCAGCCAAGUCGCGUGAGGGAUGAAGGUUCUAUGGAUCGUAAACCUCUUUUAUAAGGGAAUAAAGUGUGGGACGUGUCCUAUUUUGUAUGUACCUUAUGAAUAAGGAUCGGCUAACUCCGUGCCAGCAGCCGCGGUAAUACGGAGGAUCAGGGCGUUAUCCGGAUUUAUUGGGUUUAAAGGGUACGUAGGCGGCCUUUUAAGUUAGCGGUGAAAGUCUGGGGCUCAACAUGAGAAUUGCCGGUGAAACUGGGGGGCUUGAGUAUGUUUGAGGCAGGCGGAAUGCGAGGUGUAGCGGUGAAAUGCUUAGAUAUCACGCAGAACCCCGAUUGCGAAGGCAGCCUGCCAGGCCAUGACUGACGCUGAUGCACGAAAGCGUGGGGAUCAAACAGGAUUAGAUACCCCAGUGGUC